rnacentral:rRNA from 1 species
GUAGGUGGCAAGCGUUGUCCGGAAUUAUUGGGCGUAAAGCGCGCGCAGGCGGUUCUUUAAGUCUGAUGUGAAAGCCCACGGCUCAACCGUGGAGGGUCAUUGGAAACUGGAGAACUUGAGUACAGAAGAGGAAAGCGGAAUUCCACGUGAAGCGGUGAAAUGCGUAGAGAUGUGGAGGAACACCAGUGGCGAAGGCGGCUUUCUGGUCUGUAACUGACGCUGAGGCGCGAAAGCGUGGGGAGCAAACAGGGAUUAGAUACCCUGGUAGUCCACGCCGUAAACGAUGAGUGCUAAGUGUUAGGGGGUUUCCGCCCCCUUAGUGCUGCAGCUAACGCAUUAAGCACUCCGCCUGGGGAGUACGGCCGCAAGGCUG